CCUACGGGGGGCAGCAGUGGGGAAUAUUGGGCAAUGGGCGCAAGCCUGACCCAGCAACGCCGCGUGAAGGAAGAAGGCUUUCGGGUUGUAAACUUCUUUUCUGAGGGACGAAGAAAGUGACGGUACCUCAGGAAUAAGCCACGGCUAACUACGUGCCAGCAGCCGCGGUAAUACGUAGGUGGCAAGCGUUAUGCGGAUUUAUUGGGUGUAAAGGGCGUGUAGGCGGGAAAGCAAGUCAGAUGUGAAAACUCAGGGCUCAACCCUGGGCCUGCAUUUGAAACUGUUUUGCUUGAGUGCUGGAGAGGUAAUCGGAAUUCCGUGUGUAGCGGUGAAAUGCGUAGAUAUAAGGAGGAACACCAGUGGCGAAGGCGGAUUGCUGGACAGUAACUGACGCUGAGGCGUGAAAGCGUGGGGAGCAAACAGGAUUAGAUACCCUUGUAGUC
rnacentral:rRNA from 1 species